rnacentral:rRNA from 1 species
UACAGGGGGUGCAAACGUUGCUCGGAAUUAUUGGGCGUAAAGCGCGUGUAGGCGGCUUUGCAAGUCGGGUGUGAAAGCCCUCAGCUUAACUGAGGAAGUGCGCCCGAAACUGCAUGGCUUGAGUACCGGAGAGGGUGGCGGAAUUCCCCAAGUAGAGGUGAAAUUCGUAGAUAUGGGGAGGAACACCAGUGGCGAAGGCGGCCACCUGGACGGAUACUGACGCUGAGACGCGAAAGCGUGGGUAGCAAACAGG